rnacentral:tRNA from 1 species
GGGGUGGAAAGGUAUCUGGUGCGCCUCCCGGUCUUCAAAACCGGUGUGGGGCGCGUGCGCGUCCCGGAUGGGUUCGAUUCCCAUACACC